UACGGGGGGUGCAAGCGUUACUCGGAAUCACUGGGCGUAAAGGGAGCGUAGGCGUUUUAUUAAGUCUUGAGUGAAAGCCCGCAGCCUAACUGCGGAACUGCUCAGGAAACUGAUAAAAUCGAGUAUGGAAGAGGUAGGUGGAAUUUCCAGUGUAGGGGUAAAAUCCGUAGAUAUUGGAAGGAAUACCAGAAGCGAAGGCGACCUACUGGGACAUUACUGACGCUGAGGCUCGAAAGCGUGGGGAGCAAACAGG
rnacentral:rRNA from 1 species